UGGGGAAUAUUGGACAAUGGGCGAAAGCCUGAUCCAGCCAUGCCGCGUGCGUGAAGAAGGUCUUCGGAUUGUAAAGCACUUUAAGUUGGGAGGAAGGGCAUUUACCUAAUACGUAAGUGUUUUGACGUUACCGACAGAAUAAGCACCGGCUAACUCUGUGCCAGCAGCCGCGGUAAUACAGAGGGUGCAAGCGUUAAUCGGAAUUACUGGGCGUAAAGCGCGCGUAGGUGGUUUGUUAAGUUGGAUGUGAAAUCCCCGGGCUCAACCUGGGAACUGCAUUCAAAACUGACAAGCUAGAGUAUGGUAGAGGGUGGUGGAAUUUCCUGUGUAGCGGUGAAAUGCGUAGAUAUAGGAAGGAACACCAGUGGCGAAGGCGACCACCUGGACUGAUACUGACACUGAGGUGCGAAAGCGUGGGGAGCAAACAGGAAUUAGAUACCCUGGUAGUCCACGCCGUAAACGAUGUCAACUAGCCGUUGGGAGCCUUGAGCUCUUAGUGGCGCAGCUAACGCAUUAAGUUGACCGCCUGGGGAGUACGGCCGC
rnacentral:rRNA from 1 species